rnacentral:rRNA from 1 species
UGUAAAGGGAGCGCAGGCGGACCGGCAAGUUGGAAGUGAAAACCAUGGGCUCAACCCAUGAAUUGCUUUCAAAACUGCUGGCCUUGAGUAGUGCAGAGGUAGGCGGAAUUCCCGGUGUAGCGGUGGAAUGCGUAGAUAUCGGGAGGAACACCAGUGGCGAAGGCGGCCUACUGGGCACCAACUGACGCUGAGGCUCGAAAGUAUGGGUAGCAAACAGGAUUAGAUACCCUGGUAGUCCAUACCGUAAACGAUGAUUACUAGGUGUUGGAGGAUUGACCCCUUCAGUGCCGCAGUUAACACAAUAAGUAAUCCACCUGGGGAGUACGACCGCAAGGUUGAAACUCAAAGGAAUUGACGGGGGCCCGCACAAGCAGUGGAGUAUGUGGUUUAAUUCGAAGCAACGCGAAGAACCUUACCAGGUCUUGACAUCCGAUGCAUAGUGCAGAGAUGCAUGAAGUCCUUCGGGACAUCGAGACAGGUGGUGCAUGGUUGUCGUCAGCUCGUGUCGUGAGAUGUUGGGUUAAGUCCCGCAACGAGCGCAACCCUUAUUGCCAGUUACUACGCAAGAGGACUCUGGCGAGACUGCCGUUGACAAAACGGAGGAAGGUGGGGAUGACGUCAAAUCAUCAUGCCCUUUAUGACCUGGGCUACACACGUACUACAAUGGCGUUAAACAAAGAGAAGCAAGACCGCGAGGUGGAGCAAAACUCAAAAACAACGUCUCAGUUCAGAUUGCAGGCUGCAACUCGCCUGCAUGAAGUCGGAAUUGCUAGUAA